GACAUCUUGACACAGAAAUCUGAAGUGUUAUUCAGAGUAAUAGUAGUGGAAAGACUGAGAUGAUGAAGUCUCAACUACAAAUACUUCUCUAUCCCAGAUAUCAGUGUGAGAGACAAACUGUACUAUAGGUAUCCAAAGCGUGGAGGAGUUUAUUCAGAACUAGGGAUACAAUACUUGUUUUUCCCUUCUUCCUUAGGACCUUUUCUUCUUGAAAAAAAGAGUAAGGGUCAUGAGUUCUCAGGAAAACAACUGUGCCCUUCACAACACUUGGCUUUUGGUAUAAAGAAAUUAAUGAUAUAAACUCUCUUAUUUCAAGGAACCAUAAGAACAGAGAAGUCCAGAUAAGAACAGAGACGUGCAAAUGCUUCUGAGAGUCUCCCAGCUCCUGAUUCCCUUAUGUGGAAGACUCAGAUCAAUGCUAUUUCUUCAGCGAUAUCACUCAAACCCUACAAAGGACUCACUGAACUUUCCAAAGGACCACAUAUUUCUUCCUUGUUUUUUAUACCAGGAAAGAAGAUCAGCUUUUUUCUCCCUAUUUCUAUUCUCUUCAUCGUCUUUGUUAUCACUCCCAAAUGUGCUCUGAAGUAGAGGCCUAUUAGUAAACCCUAGAAGUACUGAAAGAAUAUCUCAGAGGAAGUUGCAGUCACAACAACACUUGUGACAUCACAGAAGAAUCUAGUGCUCUCCAGGUUAGAAGAGAGUUUUCAGGGAAUGCCUAACAAUGAUGUCACUGAAAACUGUCAUGGCCUACCUGAUGAACACCUUUCCUUACAUUGACCAGAUUCAAGUUUGCACUUUAUAGGACCUUUUCUUCUUGCGAAAAAGUGUAAAGGUCAUGAGUUCUCAGGAAAACAACUGUGCCCUUCACAACACUUGGCUUUUGGAAUAAAGAAAUAAAUGAUAUAAA